AACGCAACUUGCGCCCCUCGGCAUUCCGAGGGGCACACCUGUUUGAGUGUCGUGAAUUCCUCCACCUUUCGUCUUUUGAUCGAGAGGCUGGGAUUUGGGGGCCUCUGCGGGCCUUUUGUGGACCCGCUCCCCUUGAAUGCAUGAGUGAAGACCCUCGCUACCUUGGUGUGAUAAUGUCUACGCCUCGGCCGGUCGAGAUGAGGCCUUCGCUUCCAACCGUCCGUCUUUGGACAAUGUGAUACGAACUUGACCUCAAAUCAGGUGGGACUACCCGCUGAACUUAA
rnacentral:misc_RNA from 1 species